UGUCAGUCUACCAAGAGCAAAUAACUGAAGGCAUCUGAGACGUUACAGGAAGCAGAACUAUUUAUCUUGUCAUAUUUGUCUGAAAUUAUGUGUUCUUAUAACAAAGAAAACGUCCUUGACUCCUCGGGGAAACAGGGAGCCUCCCCUGAAGAACUGCCCCGAUCAUUCUGACUGAUGUGGAAAGACACCGCCCUGACUGUGAGGAGUACCUUCUAUUACCCGUCCAGAUACAAAGGGCAUGACUGCUGAUCCAGCAGGGAGAGGUCUGAAUAUGGGGUAUCAGAUCCAGUUCAGCAAGGCAAGUGAUAAACAGUGAUAUUCAAUAACGGCAUUCAGCCUGUACAGAAUAGGGGAACAAUAGGAAAAUAGACAGACAGACACACACAGAGGGAGACAGACAGACAGACACACAGACACACAGACAGACAGACACACAGACAGACAGACAGACAGACACACAGAUGGAAGAUACUGUCAAAUCAAUUAGUGAGGGAACAGGAGAGAGGAAGAGAGGCAGAGAGAAGGCACGUUCAGGAACAGGCGCCCAUUUGCUUGCCGACUGGGAAAAAGCAGGGCAUUCUGAACAUGGUGCCUCUGUCAAGAGUCUACAGCAAAGUAAAAUAAAAAAAAAAUUUCCCCCUGAGAUGGGGGUUUUACUAUGUAGCCUAGGCUGGUCUUGAACUGAGUCUUCUAGCCUUAGCCUCCUGCAUGCUGGGAUUACAGGGAUGCGCCACCAUAGUCAGGUUCAACAGUUAAUUCAAGACAAACUAACUUCAUUUUGUUCUCUUUUUCUUAGGGUACUGGAGACUGAACCCAUUAAAAACUACAUGAAAACCAAUACUAACUGCAGGUGGUUUAUUUGAUGACACACCACAGGUUACAACUUGCUUGGGGCUAGCAGCGACCCUAUCAGAGACCACAUUGUCAUUGUUAAAGCACUGGCCUCAAUGCUCAUCGUAGACAGAAUACGACACUCGUGUUUAAGGUGGACCACAUUUGCAACCCCAGUGCUCAGGACACUGAGACAGGAGUGUGAGUUUGAAACCAAUCUAGGCCACAGCAUGAGUUUCAGGCCAGUUUGGGCAACAGUGCUCCUGAGGCUAGAAGUGUUGUCUGCUCUUCUAAGUGCCCUCAGGGGGCCUGAAGCUUACACAAGAACUACGGGCAGUGACUGCUGAGGGCAAGAGAAACUGUCUUCUCCAGAGAAGAGUGUACCAAUGGGUUGUCCAAUACCAAAUCGUCCUCUCUGAAAAUGUACACACGAGUAACAGCAGACAGACGGAACAGGUUAUAUUUAGAAAUAUAUGGACAUACACAUAUUCGCAUGUAAUAAUGAUUAAUAAAAGAAGUCAUGAAUUUGAAAGAGAGC